CACGUAGUUAGCCGGGGCUUCUUCUGAAGGUACCGUCACUCCACAAAGCUAUUAACUCUGGAAGCUUCGUCCCAACUGAAAGGGGUUUACAACCCGAAGGCCUUCUUCCCCCACGCGGCGUUGCUGCGUCAGGCCUUUCGCCCAUUGCGCAAGAUUCCCCACUGCUGCCUCCCGUAGGAGUCUGGGCCGUGUCUCAGUCCCAGUGUGGCUGAUCGUCCUCUCAGACCAGCUACCCAUCGUCGCCUUGGUAGGCCGUUACCCCACCAACAAGCUAAUGGGCCGCGGGCCCGUCCCGAUGCGAAGGCCGAAGCUAUCUUUACUCACUUCCCUUGGAGGAAGUGAGAACAUCCGGUAUUAGCCCGAGUUUCCUCGGGUUGUCCCGGUCAUCGGGGUAGGUUACCCACGUGUUACUCACCCGUUCGCGGCUCUGCCCCAGGGCAAGCCCUGGUCGUCGCUCCACUUGCAUGUGUUAAGCACGCCGCCAGCCGUUCGUCCUGAGCCAGGAUCAAACUCU
rnacentral:rRNA from 1 species